rnacentral:sRNA from 1 species
GCACCCUUACAUUAUUAAAAAAAAAAAUACAACGUGUGAGAUAAAUAAUACGUUCACAAGGCUAUCUUAAGUGGUCUGCAGGAGUUCUGAUGCCCCUGUACUUACUAACAGAAAGUAACUCAUUGUAGAUUACUCGCGCUUAAAAAUGUUAAAUACAGUUAAUGCAAUAUUAAUCGCCCUUUGGUGAUAUAAAAUGCAAUAUUUUCAGGCAGCUAUUGAGCUUUUCCAGAGGAAGGGCGAUGAGAAGAGUCGCAGCUGAAUAGUGGGAGAAAAAGCCUGGUAUUUAUUGCUUUUGUUUGGCUUUUGGCUACAGAGACAGGAACCUUCUAAUGGGGAGACAAAUUUGGUUGGUAGGCCAAAGAGCUCACAAGGACCAACACCCCUCCCCCCUUCGAGGGUCAGGAAUCAGCUUGAAGCACAAGGAUCUUCAUUUACUAGAUAGAAUCAGACAAUCAAAAGAACGGCCUACUGCUCUGUCUUCAUGCUAACAAUGGAGGGAGUAUCAGCAACAGAACGGUUGUAAAUUAUUUUUCCCUUGGUUUCAUAGUGGUUGCAUGGUACCUUAGGCUUGGGUGACCCCGCUUGUCUUAUUGAACACAUUUCAGUAGGCAUGGGCUUGCCUGUGUUUGACCUCCUCUCCCCUAUCAUCUUCUACCAGGGCAGAGAAAGCUGAACCUUACAUGGCCAUACAAAAGCUACCCCCAGCUUCAUACAGCCGUACUGCUAAGCCUUCUGCAAAGACAAAGGAAAGAUAAAUCUGGGAAAGGAGAACUAUAGAGGGACAUUCUAAUAAUGGAUGUCAGGGAACUGAUCCACCCUAGCCCUUAGUUUUCUGAAGACAAAAUCUUCCUGUAGGGAGAAGGUGAUACGUGUCAUUUGCAGCUCAAGUGCCCUGAUGGCUUCCCAUUCCUCAUGGUUUUAAGGUGAUACUUUCCAUGAGAUUUAUUCAGGAAUCUGCCUGUGCAUAGCACGUCCUAACACCCACUCUGCCCAUCUUCUGCAUGUAACUUAGCUAGCUACCUGAAAUGCAUGCUUCUCCUUAGCACAGACCUUUGCCCUGCUGAGUGCUACAGCCCUCCACAGUUUGGUUACUUUCCUGGAGAAGCCCUGUCUGGGACAUUUCAUUUUAUUUUCUGUGCUAUUAGAACUCCAAACUGAUUUCUUCUUAUGUCAUCCAGUCUUAUCUGUGUACUCGUUUAAAUGUCAUCUGUCUGUUGCUAGUAACCAGGGAGUUCAUUUGUCCAGAUUUAUGUGUUUCUGUAAAAACACUGGGAGUGGAAAGAUACCUGGUUUGAAUACUGUCUUCUUAGUGGUUGCACAGUGCCUGGAACACGUGAAUUUGCAUAUUUGCAUGCAUAUUUGAGAGUGAUCGUGUCAUUGCCCACAGACUAUAGAAGUAUGUUUAUAUUUCAAUGUCAAUUCAAAAUGCCCUUGUCUGAGUUCCAGCAGCAGCCGGGAGUUUUCAUUCCUGAUCUGUAGCAGCAAGCAGAGAACAUGACACUGGUUCUGGAAUGGACUUCUGAAACCUCAAUGCCUCUUCCACUGCCGCAAGUCCUACAAUAUGGCCACACCUCCCAAUACUUCCGAAACAGUUUCACUAAUUGGAAACCAAGCAUUCAAACCUGUGGCCUUAUGUGGGCCAUUCUCUUUCGAAUCACCACAGACAGAUCCUCUGACAGAUGUCUAAAUAUUUAUAGUCCUCAGUUUCCAGCUGCUUGUGAAAGGAUAAUAUUGUGUGAACAAAGGUUCAGUGAAGGUCUCUGCAGAGCAACCCAGGGAAGACCCUAUGACAAGGAAAAUGUAGCAACAGCGCGGAUGUAGAGACGAAUCCCCACGGUUGGCAGAAGCAUGAUCAUGUCUUCAUCUGAAUAUAAUGAAGAAAUAAUGGAUCCGAAAUCUGCUAUCAAAGGAGUUGUGAAGAGCGGCACUUGUCAGCAUAAUACCGAUAGGAAGAACAUGGAGUUAAAUGAGAAGGAGAUACAGAGACCUACAACGGACAUGAUGCAUAGUGAGAUACCUUGGAACACUCAGCCCUAAGAGGGAUGACUCCAUUCAUCCUUCUCCUCACGGCUCAGGGAACCUGUGGAAGAGGGGCAGAAAGAGCCAGAGACGACAGAGGACACUGAGAAAGCAAGACCCUAUAAAUCAACAUGAGUAAAGCUCACAUAACUUACAAAGACUGGAGCAGUGCGCACAGGGCUUGUGGUAGUCUGCACCAGACCUAAUAUCAGAUUAAUCAGUGAGUAAGAAUCCCGAUUCUACGCAAGGAAAAUUGAUUCUGUUUUGCUCAAGAGAUGAAAUUGCUUCUUGUGGCCAGGAAGGCAGCCCAUUCCUGAAUCAAUUCCUAGAAGCAUUGCACGAUUUGUUCUUGAUAUUUCCAUUACAUUAUGGUGAUAAUGACACUCAGAGAGAUAUCGUGCCCUGCAUGGAAGCAGUGCCCAGAGUUUGGGACCGCCACUCAGGAGAGAAGCAGGAGAAGGAUGUGGUCAUGGGGACAAGUGGCUGCACACUUUUUCAGAAGGAAACCUGCUACUCAGAGCUUUGACAACGGCUACCAGAACCAACCAGGAGUCAGCUAACUAGCUGGACUUUCCGAUGCUUCAGAAAUUAGAUAUCCAUUCUUGCAAUGAAAUAUUACAGCCUAAUUUUAUUCUUCUCCACAUGCACAUCCAGUUUUCUUAGCACAAUUUUAUACAGAAGAUGCUUUCUUUUCUGCAGUGUAUGUUUUUCAUUUUAAUAUGUGUCAAUUGUCGAUUGCUAUGUGCACCCAUGCUUGGGUGGUCUGGUUGUUCCAUCAGUCUAUAUGUCUGUUUUUGUGUAAGUGCCAUACUAUUUUGGACAUUAUAGCUUUGUAUUAUGUUUUAAAGCUUGAAUGGCAAUCCCGCCAGCAGUCCUCUCGUUGCCCAAUUUUGCUUUGGCUACCUGGGGUCUUUUUCAGAAUUAUAUGAGUUUUAGGAUGGAUUUUUCUAUUUCCGUGAAGAAUGUUGUGGGAGUUUUUAUUAGAAUAGGGCUGAAUGUAUAAAUAUCUUUUGGACAUAUACAUAUGUAUAUAUUAAUUAUAUUACUAUAUACU